rnacentral:rRNA from 1 species
GACGAACGCUGGCGGCGUGCUUAACACAUGCAAGUCGAACGGAAAGGCCCUGCUUUUGUGGGGUGCUCGAGUGGCGAACGGGUGAGUAACACGUGAGUAACCUGCCCUUGACUUUGGGAUAACUUCAGGAAACUGGGGCUAAUACCGGAUAGGAGCUCCUGCUGCAUGGUGGGGGUUGGAAAGUUUCGGCGGUUGGGGAUGGACUCGCGGCUUAUCAGCUUGUUGGUGGGGUAGUGGCUUACCAAGGCUUUGACGGGUAGCCGGCCUGAGAGGGUGACCGGCCACAUUGGGACUGAGAUACGGCCCAGACUCCUACGGGAGGCAGCGGUGGGGAAUAUUGCACAAUGGGCGGAAGCCUGAUGCAGCAACGCCGCGUGCGGGACGACGGCCUUCGGGUUGUAAACCGCUUUCGCCUGUGACGAAGCGUGAGUGACGGUAAUGGGUAAAGAAGCACCGGCUAACUACGUG